CUAGAACCAAAGGGAGACACUAAACCUCUCUGCAAACUCUUUGUACGUUCCCAUCUGUGACUUCAUAAAUAUUUGAUGCAGUGGCCAGUCAACAUCCCUACAUUAGUGAAACUUCUGCCCAGGAGCAACUGCACAGCUCUCAGCGAUGAGAUCGGACCCAGGAGGCAAAUGCAGCAUGACUCACUCCCUCCGUUGCCCUUGGUUAAACAGCCGUGAAUAUCUAAAGUCUACCAACUGGAACUCAAAGAAAGCAAGAAAACAGAUGCUCAGCACUCCUGGGACAUAAUACUUUAUUAUGCAAGAGUCUAUAGCAUUCAUGACAUCUGAGAGGAAGGAUUUGACAAGUUAAUUAAUUUGUCUUUUCUCUUACCUAAAUGCUUCCAUGGC
rnacentral:lncRNA from 1 species